GCCUCCUUAGCUCAGCGGAUUAGAGCACUUGUCUUCGGAACAAGGGGUCGGGGGUUCGAAUCCCUCAGGAGGCGCCA
rnacentral:tRNA from 1 species